rnacentral:rRNA from 1 species
UGAAACCAGGAUUAGAUACCCUACUAUACUAAGAUAAUAGGAAAAACUAGAAUAUUAAAAGAUAUAGUCUUUAAAUUCAAAGAAUUUGGCGGUAAUUUAGUCUUUCCAGAGGAACCUGUUUUUUAAUCGAUAAACCACGAAUAAUCUUACUUAUCUUUGUAAAUUUAAUAAGUUUGUAUACCGUCAUUAUCAGAUGAUAUUUAGAGAUGAUAUUAUUGGAUUUUAAAUAGUAAAAAAAAUUAGAUCAAGGUGCAGCUAAUAGAUAAGUUAAAAUGGGUUACAAUUAACUGGAUUUAAUAAUGAAUAAAGAUUUGAAAAAUCUUUGGAAGGAGGAUUUGGUUGUAAUUAAAAUUAGUAUGAUAAAAAGAUAUGAGCUCUAAAUUAUGUACAUAUCGCCCGUCGCUA